UUUAACGUGUCGUCGUGUAGUGAACUGCACUCUUCUAUUUUCACCAGACACUCGUCACGUUUAUAAAACGUUUCUACGUUCCUCAAGUUUUCGGCUCGUUCGUGAAUUAACAAAUCACAAUUCAUCCUUUUUUUUUUUUUUAAAGUCUUAAAAGCUCUUAAAAUAUCUGUACAUUUUAGGAAGGCAGCAAUUAGCUCAAUUAGCACAAUAAAUCGUACUAAAAACAGCAAUUUGUAGGUCUGUUAAUUCUCAACGCUACAUGAAAAAUAUGAUAGAUCCAAACAAACUUUGUUUGUCACUUCUGACAAACAAAACGCACCGUUAAUAUUUGGAAUCAUUAACGUUAGCAUGUUAACACUCUUGUUAGCAACUAAAAGAUGUUGCGCGUGUAGUUGUGCGAGAAGUUCUUCCAAAUCUGCUUCAACAAUUGCGCAUUAAACAAGAUAAUUAGCAGUAGAAAUUAUGUUUGUACAAGUAUUU